UACGGAGGGUGCAAGCGUUAAUCGGAAUUACUGGGCGUAAAGGGCGUGUAGGCGGUUAUUUAAGUUAGAUGUGAAAUCCCUGGGCUUAACCUAGGAACUGCAUUUAAUACUGAGUAACUGGAGUGCGGUAGAGGAUAGUGGAAUUUCCGGUGUAGCGGUGAAAUGCGUAGAUAUCGGAAGGAACACCAGUGGCGAAGGCGACUAUCUGGACUGACACUGACGCUGAGGCGCGAGAGCGUGGGGAGCAAACAGG
rnacentral:rRNA from 1 species